UUAGGUUCAAACCAAAGUUAAAAUUAGACCAAAUAACUUGAAAAUCAAGUCUAAAUUAAAAAAUCAAUCAAAAAUCAAACCGAUCGGUUUAAACCGAACCGAACCGAAAUAGAAUGGUUCGGUUCGAUUCGGUUUUUCACCCAUUUCGGUUCGGUUCGGUUUCUAAAAUUUAAAAUUCAAUUUUUAUAAUUUAAUUCAAUUCGAUUUGAUUCGAUUCGGUUUGAACCGAAUGUUCACCCCUAGUGUGGAUAAUAUAUUGCUAGGGGCUGCAUACACAUAUAAGUUUUAU
rnacentral:misc_RNA from 1 species